rnacentral:lncRNA from 1 species
UGUCUGCUAUUCAUCUAUAAUGAAAUUUAUUUGAUAAAUAUUGUUUAAAGCUGCAGUUAUUUGGUUUUAAAUAGAUGUGUAAAAACGGCGAAUAUGUGUCCCCCGUUGACAAAAAAUCAGGAAAUUUCAAACACCCUUUAAUCCAACUUUUCAGAUGAUUUUUCUCAAAACAAACACGUUUUCAAGCUAAGAAUAUUUUGCAUUUGAAGUUAUCUUCAUAUAGAAAUAUCAGUAUACUUCAAAAACAUAAAGACCUGAACAUAAACUGAAGAAAACAUGGAAAGAUAUGGCGAAAAUGAGCACC